GCUUAUGAGUUAAGCGUGAUGUCAGGAGGGUGAUGGAUGUGGUCAACAUGAUGUAAUAAAUGUCGUAUGUGCCCAAACAUUUUUAAUAAAAAAAUCUCUUGAUGGAUAUGGUUUAGUCAACAACUACGGUUCUUUGUAGCGACUCACGGUCCAAGACAUCACUCUGUAGAAGAUCGUCGGGCCAGCAUGAUGUAAAUGUAGUAUGUGGGACCCCUCCCAAACAUUUUUAAUCAAAAAAU
rnacentral:lncRNA from 1 species